UAAGUAGGUGGUAAACUCCAUCUAAGGCUAAAUACAACCACGAGACCGAUAGCGAACAAGUACCGUGAGGGAGAGUUGAAAAGAACUUUGAAGAGAGAGUUCAAGAGUACGUGAAACCGCUCAGGGGUAAACGGAAAAGACCUGAAUAUCCGGAAGGGGAGAUUCACGUCUUACCAUUUGCUCAACUUUUAAAUGAUUUGAGAUGGCCUCUCGCCCUAUUCAGUGUAACAGCUGUGAUAGUGGGUUUGGUCGCUCUCAUUUAAAUAGCAAGGGUAAUGGUGGACCGCACUUCUCCCUUAGUAGGACGUUGUGACCUGUCAAUAAAUAUUCUAAGUAUUUGGCUAUUAUGUCUGUUCUAAGUUAUACCGUUAAGGUAUUUUCUUUAAAACAGUUUUAGCCGUUUUAUAUACUGGAUAAAAUUGACAGUAACGAAU
rnacentral:rRNA from 1 species